rnacentral:rRNA from 1 species
AACGAACGCUGGCGGCAGGCCUAACACAUGCGAGUCGAGCGCCCUUUCGGGUGAGCGGCGGACGGGUGAGUAACGCGUGGGAAUAUGCCCUUCUCUACGGAAUAGCCUCGGGAAACUGAGAGUAAUACCGUAUACGCCCUGUGGGGGAAAGAUUUAUCGGGGAAGGAUUAGCCCGCGUUGGAUUAGGUAGUUGGUGGGGUAAUGGCCUACCAAGCCGACGAUCCAUAGCUGGUUUGAGAGGAUGAUCAGCCACACUGGGACUGAGACACGGCCCAGACUCCUACGGGAGGCAGCAGUGGGGAAUCUUAGACAAUGGGGGCAACCCUGAUCUAGCCAUGCCGCGUGAGUGAUGAAGGCCUUAGGGUUGUAAAGCUCUUUCAGCUGGGAAGAUAAUGACGGUACCAGCAGAAGAAGCCCCGGCUAACUCCGUG